ensembl:lncRNA
CACACCUGGACCUCCUGGUAGCUCAUCUCUCUCCUCUCCACUCGACUCUGAGACACUUGGAAAGGAAAUGGCCGUCAGCUGGGCUGUAGAGGAAGUCGUUGAGGGCGGAGCAGAUAAGCAGGCGGGGCUGAAAUUCCUGACGUUCCUGCUUCUGUCACAUGGGUGUGUCACAUGACCUUCCCGAGCACCGAGGAUCCGGUCAUGUGUGAGUCAUCCUUCUUCCUAACGACAAUGAGAGAACAUGCAUUAUUCAGUUAAUACAGAAGGGUUCAUUAAGGGUUUAUUGGAUAAUUAAGUGUUAAUCUGAG